AAGUUAAUUUUUUAGUUUUGAAAACUAAUUUUGGAGUUUUCCUUAGCUUU
rnacentral:tRNA from 1 species